rnacentral:rRNA from 1 species
AUGGACCUCGCCACGGGGGCCAUGGGCAACCUCCUCCUCAAGCUUGGAAAGCUCCUCAAGGAGGAGUACGAGCUGCAGACCGGCGUCAAAGAAGACAUCCAAUAUCUCGAAAGAGAGCUGAGGACCAUGCAUGCCUCCCUCCGCAAGGUCGGGGAUGUGCCACGGGACCAACUCGAUGAGCUGGUCAAGCUUUGGGUCGACGAUGUGAGGGACCUAUCAUUCAAAAUGGAGGACAUUGUUGACACAUUCCUGGUAAGCGUCGAGGGCUCUGAGCCCACUGUCAAGCCACACAAGCUCAAGCGGCUCAUGAAGAAGAUGGGUGACUUGUUCACGAAGGGUAAGACUCGACGUGAGAUUGCUGAUGAGAUCAAAGGCAUCAAGGUACGCGUCCAGGACGCAGCUGACCGACGUGAUAGGUACAAGGUCAAUGACAUGGUGGUUAAUCCAAUUGACACAACCAUGGUUGACCCUCGCCUGUUGGCUUUGUACAAGGAUCAGAAAGAGCUUAUAGGCAUUGAUGGGGCAGUUAACGAGCUAGCCAAGAUUCUGACUGAUGAGGAUGGGGACGUCUUCAUGCAACUCAAGAUAAUCUCUAUUUUUGGACUCGGGGGCCUUGGCAAGACAACUCUCGCCAAAGCAGUGUAUGAUAAGCUCCAAGCGCAAUUCACUUGCAGUACUUUUUUUCCGAAUAACCAAGCAAAUAUACCACAGUUGGAUGAAAGGCAGUUGAUCGACAAACUCAGAGGAUUACUUGAGAAGAAGAGGUACUUCAUCGUUAUUGAUGAUAUAUGGGAUACCGAAAUAUGGGAUAUACUCAGGUGCGCUUUGAUGCAUAAUAAUUGUGCCAGCAGGAUAAUCACAACUACUCGUAUCCUUGAAGUCGCCACAAACACCGGUGAAGUAUACAAGCUAGAACCACUUUCUCAUGAUUUAUCUAAGGAGUUAUUUAAUACAAGAUUAUUUGGUGGCAAGAAUAAAUGCCGUUAUGAUCCGCCGGAAGAGGUGUACAAUAAAAUUUUA